GCCAGAGUGAUCCAGUGGUUUGAAUGUUGGGACUACAACUCUAGAGACCAGGCUUCAAAUCCCCGCUCAGCCA